rfam:Asian citrus Psyllid, Diaphorina citri - Florida Strain, whole genome shotgun sequence.
AAAACGGCCCUUUUCAGGGCCACCAAAAUCUAUCUAUCCGAUCAAUU